rnacentral:rRNA from 1 species
AACGAACGCUGGCGGCAUGCCUAACACAUGCAAGUCGAACGAGACCUUCGGGUCUAGUUGCGCACGGGUGCGUACCGCGUGGGAACCUGCCCUUAGGUUCGGAAUAACUCCCCGAAAGGGGUGCUAAUACCGGAUAAUGUCUUCGGACCAAAGAUUUAUCGCCUUUGGAUGGGCCCGCGUUGGAUUAGCUAGUUGGUAGGGUAAACGCCUACCAAGGCGACGAUCCAUAGCUGGUCUGAGAGGAUGAUCAGCCACACUGGGACUGAGACACGGCCCAGACUCCUACGGGAGGCAGCAGUGGGGAAUAUUGGACAAUGGGGGAAAGCCUGAUCCAGCAAUGCCGCGUGAGUGAUGAAGGCCUUAGGGUUGUAAAGCUCUUUUACCCGGGAAGAUAAUGACAGUACCGGGAGAAUAAGCUCCGGCUAACUACGUG